UUAAAUUGAAGAGUUUGAUCAUGGCUCAGAUUGAACGCUGGCGGCAGGCCUAACACAUGCAAGUCGAACGGUAACAGGAAGCAGCUUGCUGCUUCGCUGACGAGUGGCGGACGGGUGAGUAAUGUCUGGGAAACUGCCUGAUGGAGGGGGAUAACUACUGGAAACGGUAGCUAAUACCGCAUAACGUCGCAAGACCAAAGAGGGGGACCUUCGGGCCACUUGCCAUCG
rnacentral:rRNA from 1 species